UACGUAGGGAGCAAGCGUUGUUCGGAAUUACUGGGCGUAAAGGGCGCGUAGGCGGCCUGUUAAGUCGAACGUGAAAUCCCCCGGCUUAACCUGGGAACUGCGUCUGAUACUGGAAGGCUUGAGUAUGGGAGAGGGAUGUAGAAUUCCAGGUGUAGCGGUGAAAUGCGUAGAUAUCUGGAGGAAUACCGGUGGCGAAGGCGGCAUCCUGGACCAUUACUGACGCUGAGGCGCGAAAGCUAGGGGAGCAAACGGG
rnacentral:rRNA from 1 species